rnacentral:rRNA from 1 species
GAUGAACGCUAGCUACAGGCUUAACACAUGCAAGUCGAGGGGUAACGAGAGGAAAGCUUGCUUUCCUUGUCGACGACCGGCGCACGGGUGAGUAACGCGUAUCCAACCUGCCCCCAACUAGGGAAUAACCUUGCGAAAGUAAGACUAAUACCCUAUAAUUUCCUCAGAUGUCAUCUGACGAGGAAUAAAGAUUUAUCGGUUGUGGAUGGGGAUGCGUCUGAUUAGCUUGUUGGCGGGGUAACGGCCCACCAAGGCAACGAUCAGUAGGGGUUCUGAGAGGAAGGGCCCCCACAUUGGAACUGCGACACGGUCCAAGCUCCUACGGGGGGCAGCAGUGAGGAAUAUUGGUCAAUGGUCGGAAGCUUGAACCAGCCAAGUAGCGUGCAGGAUGACGGCCCUAUGGGUUGUAAACUGUUUUUAUACAGGAAUAAAGUUAGCCACGUGUGGUUAUUUGUAGGUACUGUAUGAAUAAGGACCGGCUAAUUCCGUGCCAGCCGCCGCGGUAA